rnacentral:rRNA from 1 species
AAGUGGCGACCGGGUUGAGUAACACGUGACUAACCUACCCUCGAGUGUGGAAUANCAUCGGGAANCCGACGCUAAUACCGCAUAACAUCGCAAGAUCAAAGCANCAAUGCGCUGGAAGAGGGGGUCGCGNCUGGUUAGCUAGUUGGCGGGGUAACGGCCCACCAAGGCGAAGAUCGGUAUCCGGCCUGAGAGGGCGCACGGACACACUGGAANUGAAACACGGUCCAGACUCCUACGGGAGGCAGCAGUGGGGAAUUUUGCGCAAUGGGGGAAACCCUGACGCAGCAACGCCGCGUGGAGGAUGAAGCCCCUUGGGGCGUAAACUCCUUUCGACCAAGACGAUAAUGACGGUACUGGUGGAAGAAGCACCGGCUAACUCUGUNCCAGCAGCCGCGGUAAUACAGAGGGUGCGAGCGUUGUUCGGAAUUAUUGGGCGUAAAGGGCGCGUAGGCGGUGCCNCAAGUCACUUGUGAAAUCCCCGGGCUUAACUCGGGGCNUNCAGGCGAAACUGUGGUGCUGGAGUAUGGGAGAGGUGCGUGGAAUUCCCGGUGUANCGGUGAAAUGCGUAGAUAUCGGGAGGAACACCUGUGGCGAAAGCGGCGCACUGGACCAUAACUGACGCUGAGGCGCGAAAGCUAGGGGAGCAAACAGGAUUAGAUACCCUGGUAGUCCUAGCCCUAAACGAUGAUUGCUUGGUGUAGCAGGUACCCAAUCCUGCUGUGCCGCAGCUAACGCGAUAAGCAAUCCNCCUGGGGAGUACGGUCGCAAGGCUGAAACUCAAAUGAAUUGACGG